AUGCCUAACACAUGCAAGUCGAACGUAUGCCUUCGGGCAUAGUGGCGCACGGGUGCGUAACGCGUGGGAAUCUGCCCCUGGGUUCGGAAUAACAGUGAGAAAUUGCUGCUAAUACCGGAUGAUGACGUAAGUCCAAAGAUUUAUCGCCCAGGGAUGAGCCCGCGUAGGAUUAGCUAGUUGGUGAGGUAAGAGCUCACCAAGGCGACGAUCCUUAGCUGGUCUGAGAGGAUGAUCAGCCACACUGGGACUGAGACACGGCCCAGACUCCUACGGGAGGCAGCAGUGGGGAAUAUUGGACAAUGGGCGAAAGCCUGAUCCAGCAAUGCCGCGUGAGUGAUGAAGGCCUUAGGGUUGUAAAGCUCUUUUACCCGGGAUGAUAAUGACAGUACCGGGAGAAUAAGCUCCGGCUAACUCCGUGCCAGCAGCCGCGGUAAUACGGAGGGAGCUAGCAUUGUUCGGAAUUACUGGGCGUAAAGCGCACGCAGGCGGCUUUGUAAGUUAGAGGUGAAAGCCUGGAGCUUAACUCCAGAAUUGCCUUUUAAGACUGCAUCGCUUGAAUCCGGGAGAGGUGAGUGGAAUUCCGAGUGUAGAGGUGAACUCCGUAGAUAU
rnacentral:rRNA from 1 species